rnacentral:rRNA from 1 species
UACGUAGGGCGCAAGCGUUGUCCGGAAUUAUUGGGCGUAAAGAGCUCGUAGGCGGCCUGUUGCGUCCGCUGUGAAAUCCCGGGGCUCAACCCCGGGCCUGCAGUGGAUACGGGCUGGCUAGAGGCAGGCAGGGGAGAACGGAAUUCCUGGUGUAGCGGUGAAAUGCGCAGAUAUCAGGAGGAACACCGGUGGCGAAAGCGGCUCACUGGACCACAACUGACGCUGAUGCGCGAAAGCUAGGGGAGCAAACAGG